rnacentral:ribozyme from 1 species
CCCCAGCGUUGGCUCGCACCUCAUCGUGGUGCUGGGGUCCAGUAAUCCUUCGGGAUGAAGCCAAGACGAGC